GAUGAACGCUGGCGGCGUGCCUAAUACAUGCAAGUCGAGCGAACAGACGAGGAGCUUGCUCCUCUGACGUUAGCGGCGGACGGGUGAGUAACACGUGGAUAACCUACCUAUAAGACUGGGAUAACUUCGGGAAACCGGAGCUAAUACCGGAUAAUAUUUUGAACCGCAUGGUUCAAUAGUGAAAGACGGUCUUGCUGUCACUUAUAGAUGGAUCCGCGCGGCAUUAGCUAGUUGGUAAGGUAACGGCUUACCAAGGCAACGAUGCGUAGCCGACCUGAGAGGGUGAUCGGCCACACUGGAACUGAGACACGGUCCAGACUCCUACGGGAGGCAGCAGUAGGGAAUCUUCCGCAAUGGGCGAAAGCUUGACGGAGCAACGCCGCGUGAGUGAUGAAGGUCUUCGGAUCGUAAAACUCUGUUAUUAGGGAAGAACAAAUGUGUAAGUAACUAUGCACAUCUUGACGGUACCUAAUCAGAAAGCCACGGCUAACUACGUG
rnacentral:rRNA from 1 species